rnacentral:misc_RNA from 1 species
AAGUCGUAACAAGGUUUCCGUAGGUGAACCUGCGGAAGGAUCAUUACUGGAUAUCCUCUUGUGGAUUAUCUUAUCACGUGUGAACUGUUUUGAUUAACGCCGGUGGUGCUUCGCUACUUGGUUUUGACUGCUGCUGUGCUGGAACGCGAGGUGAAGACAUGCAAAACAAUUGUGUGUCAGAAUCUGCCGUGUCCCGUCGCCAACAGUCACUGCCAAGGGCGUGCGCCAUUGGAUUCCCGUGGUGUAUGCCGAAGCGUUCAACGGAGACGUGAAUGCGGGUUGGCGCGCCAUUGGGCUUUUUUACCCAUUUAUCCGAACUGACUCUGAAAACAACACAAAGCCUUAGAAAACUUUUAGCAAUGGAUCUCUAGGCUCUU